CCCUUAGAUGUUCUGGGCCGCACGCGUGCUACACUGAUGCAUUCAACGAGUCUAAAACCUGGUCUGAUAGGGCUGGGUAAUCUUUUGAAAGUGCAUCGUGAUUGGGAUAGAUGAUUGCAAUUCUUCAUCUUCAACGAGGAAUGCCUAGUAAACGCAAGCCAUCAGCUUGCAUUGAUUACGUCCCUGCCCUUUGUACACACCGCCCGUCGUUCCUACCGAUUGAAUGAUCCGAUGAAUACCAUGGAUUGAGAGUACGAAUAGGUUCGCUUAUUUCUGCUGCUCGAGAAGUGGAGUAAAUCUUAUCAUUUAGAGGAAGGAGAAGUCGUAACA
rnacentral:rRNA from 1 species